UACAGAGGGGGCAAGCGUUGUUCGGAAUUACUGGGCGUAAAGCGUGCGCAGGCGGUUUUGUAAGUCAGAUGUGAAAUCCCCGGGCUUAACCUGGGAACUGCGUUUGAAACUACAAGGCUAGAGUGUGGCAGAGGGGGGUGGAAUUCCACGUGUAGCAGUGAAAUGCGUAGAUAUCUGGAGGAAUACCGGUGGCGAAGGCGGCAUCCUGGACCGGCAUUGACGCUGAGGAGCGAAAGCCAGGGGAGCAAACGGG
rnacentral:rRNA from 1 species